CGGGGGGAGCAAGCGUUGUUCGGAUUUACUGGGCGUAAAGGGCGCGUAGGCGGCCAGCGCAAGUCAGUUGUGAAAUCUCCGAGCUUAACUCGGAAAGGUCAACUGAUACUGCGCGGCUAGAGUGCAGAAGGGGCAACUGGAAUUCUUGGUGUAGCGGUGAAAUGCGUAGAUAUCAAGAGGAACACCUGCGGCGAAGGCGGGUUGCUGGGCUGACACUGACGCUGAUGCGCGAAAGCCAGGGGAGCGAACGGGAUUAGAUACCCCGGUAGUCCUGGCCUUAAACGAUGAAUGCUUGGUGUCUGGGGUUAUAAAGUCCCCGGGUGCCGUCGCUAACGCUUUAAGCAUUCCGCCUGGGGAGUACGGUCGCAAGACUG
rnacentral:rRNA from 1 species